UUGUGCUAGAUGGGGAGUCAGCGGUGCCCUGUAACCUGCAAUCCGCUAUAGCAGGAUCGAAUUCCUUGCCUCGGCCUUAACUUGUGGGGUCUGACCUAUGUAAGUGGUGUUGAGGGUUGGGUCCCACGCAAUAAGAGCUUGUGAACCUCGUCAGAUCUUGACCGAAGCAGCGAUAAGCAAGUACUCUUAUGUGCCGUGGAAAAAUCUGGCCUGAGCUAACUGCAUAGGUAACGCUCAUACGUUAUUGUCAAAGCAAGGUGCACAA
rnacentral:SRP_RNA from 1 species